GGGGAUUUAGCUCACUGGUAGAGUACUUGCCUAGCAUGUGUGAGGCCCUGGGUUCAAUCCCCAAUACUCCA
rfam:Ictidomys tridecemlineatus contig089369, whole genome shotgun sequence.